rnacentral:rRNA from 1 species
AUUGAACGCUGGCGGCAGGCCUAACACAUGCAAGUAGAACGAGUGGCGGACGGGUGAGUAAUGUAUGGGAACCUGCCUGAAGGAGGGGGAUAACUACUGGAAACGGUAGCUAAUCCCGCAUACCCUCGGAUGUGCCCCGAUGGGCGUAGCUUGUAGGUGGGGUAACGGCGCACCAGGGCGACGAUCCCUAGCUGGUCUGAGAGGAUGACCAGCAAAACUGGAACGGGGACACGGUCCAGACGCCGACGGGAGGCAGAGUUGGGGAAUAUUGCACAAUGGGCGCAAGCCUGAUGCAGCCAUGCCGCGGGUAUGAAGAAGGCCUUCGGGUUGUAAAGUACUUUCAGCGGGGAGGCGUUACCCGCAGAAGAAGCACCGGCUAACUCCGUGCCAGCAGCCGCGGUAAUAC